CUGUCGAUAGCUCAGUUGGCAGAGCGGUGGACUAUAUAUCCAUUAGUCGCCACGGAUCCAUGGUUCGACUCCGGUUUGACAGA